rnacentral:rRNA from 1 species
AUUGAACGCUGGCGGCAUGCUUUACACAUGCAAGUCGAACGGUAACAGGUUAAGCUGACGAGUGGCGAACGGGUGAGUAAUGCAUCGGAACGUGCCCGGUCGUGGGGGAUAACGCAGCGAAAGCUGCGCUAAUACCGCAUACGAUCUGAGGAUGAAAGCGGGGGACCGUAAGGCCUCGCGCGAUCGGAGCGGCCGAUGUCAGAUUAGGUAGUUGGUGGGGUAAAGGCUCACCAAGCCAACGAUCUGUAGCUGGUCUGAGAGGACGACCAGCCACACUGGGACUGAGACAUGGCCCAGACUCCUACGGGAGGCAGCAGUGGGGAAUUUUGGACAAUGGGCGAAAGCCUGAUCCAGCAAUGCCGCGUGCAGGAAGAAGGCCUUCGGGUUGUAAACUGCUUUUGUACGGAGCGAAAAGGUCUCCUCUAAUACAGGGGGCUCAUGACGGUACCGUAAGAAUAAGCACCGGCUAACUACGUGCCAGCAGCCGCCGCCG